rnacentral:rRNA from 1 species
UGCGGUUCUCCAAAUAAUAUAAUUUAAUUUUAUUAAUUAUAAUUAAUUUAUUAAAAUAAUUAUAUAUUUAAAUUUAUUAGGUGAAAUUUUAAAUUUUUGAUUUAAUUUUAUUUUAUAAAUGAAGUUGGGAAAUUUUAAGUUAUAGAMUAGGAUUAGAUACCCUAUUAUUUAAAAUGUAUUAUUUGAAUUUGAUUAGUAUUAGUUAUGUUCUUAAAAAUUAAAAAUUUUGGCGGUAUUUUAGUCCUUUCAGAGGAACCUGUUUUAUAAAUGAUAGUCCACGAUUUUAUAUACUUUCUUAAAAAAUUUACAUAUCGUCGUAAUUAAGUAUUUUAUUAGAAUUAUUAAUAUUUAAGAUUUUUUAUUAAAAAAUUAAUCAGAUCAAGGUGUAGUUAAUAGGGAAGAAGAAAUGGGUUACAAUAAAUUUAUUUAGGGAUAAUUAAUUUUAUGUUAAUUUGAAUUUGGAUUUGAAAGUAAUUUAAAUAAAUUAAUAAAUUUGAUUUAGGCGGUAAAAUAU